CCUACGGGGGGCAGCAGUGGGGAAUUUUGGACAAUGGGGGCAACCCUGAUCCAGCCAUGCCGCGUGCGGGAAGAAGGCCUUCGGGUUGUAAACCGCUUUUGUCAGGAGAGAAAUCUCUUGGGCUAAUACCCUGAGAGGAUGACGGUACCUGAAGAAUAAGCACCGGCUAACUACGUGCCAGCAGCCGCGGUAAUACGUAGGGUGCAAGCGUUAAGCGGAGCGUGUGGGCGUAACGCGGGAGCAGGCGGUUGAAAUCCCCGGGCGUAACCUGGGAACUGCACUUGUGACUGCACGGCUAGAGUACGGCAGAGGGGGAUGGAAUUCCGCGUGUAGCAGUGAAAUGCGUAGAUAUGCGGAGGAACACCGAUGGCGAAGGCAGUCCCCUGGGCCUGUACUGACGCUCAUGCACGAAAGCGUGGGGAGCAAACAGGAUUAGAUACCCGAGUAGUC
rnacentral:rRNA from 1 species